rnacentral:misc_RNA from 1 species
AUAGAAAUAUUUAUGAUGAUCUUAUCUUAAAAAAGAACAAGGAAGAGAUUGUAGAAAGAAAGGAAAGUUUAGGUAAAAUUUUAAGAGAAAAUGCUAUAGAAAUAAUAGUUAGAAGGCUUUAACACACCGAGAAUGAAAAAAACUAAAGAAAACACAGCAUCCAUGUGUUUUUUUAUCAAUUAAAUUAGUGAGACAAUGGUCGUUACCAUUAUUUAACGAUAAAUAACAACCGUUCCCAUUAUGUAACAGUGGUAAUGCCUAUUACCAAUACAAUUCAGCAUCUGUCUUUAAAUAACAAGGUAAAGGGUAACUACCCCUUGAAAAACCUGUAAAUAACGGCCGUUUAAAACCAUUAUAUUGAUAUUUAGUAGCCAAUUAAAUUUAGUCCUUCAUUGUCAAGAUACCAAAUUAUCAUGACCGUAUUUUACUUAUAAAUAACAUUGUCCACAUUUUAAAAUUUUUUUAUACGUUUAGUUUAUUACUCUAAAUAAAAGACUAUUUUUUAAACUAUCCUCUUUAUUUCUACUAUUUACAUAAUUUAAAAUUUUUUUUACUAUACAAUAAUGAAAUAAAAGGGAAUCAAAGUAAAGAAAUUAAUGAUAGUGAAUCUGGAAGAAUUAAUCAUAAUUCCUUUUUUUUGUACACAUAAUAAUAAAAAGCUUUCAGGCCAGCAAAGAAGGAAAAAAUUGAUUGUCAUAGGGAACGACGACGUUUCAGAAGCCAAAGUAAGGUAUGAUAAUAGUGCUCACAUUCUGUUUUGGUUGCUAAAGCACGAGAAGCGAAAGUGCGGUGUUUUUGAUAAGCAAAAACUUCUGCUAUUGCAAGUUAACCAUUCGAUGAAAUGUCUAGCCUUUUUUUCUUUAUUAGUGGUAAUAAGAUAAUUAUUAUAAUUAAAAUUUGAAUAGUAUUAGAAUUUGUAAUAUUGUAGUCUUUAAAAAAAAAUUGCAACAUUGUAAAUAAUACAAAAUAAUUAUGUCCUUUUUUAUUCAUUUCAUCAUUCCUCUCUUCUUCCCACUUUUAUGUAGACCAAUAUUAUUUACGUGCAUUGCACGUUGUACGUAUUCAUAAUUUAAUUUUCUUUAUAUGCAAUUUCAGAAAAAAUUUUAUGCUAAUUAAUAAUAAACCUUAAAAUUAAUAAAAACAUAUCAAAGGCACCAUGAAAUAUUACCUCAACAAAAAGAUGGCGAAAAUCAAUAGCCUUUAUUUCCACAAUAGAAAAACUCUAUCCAAGCAAAAGCAACUAACUCAAUACUUCCAUAACAUACUAUUUUUAAGCUCAAUUUUAUAUACAACUUUAAAUAUUCAUAUUAUUCAUUAAGUAAUACAUUUACAAAUUGUAAUACACGGUAACAUAAAGCAUUUAAGUAAAUUAGAAAAAACUUUUAAUAGGAUUCUUAUUUUACUUAACAUAUAUUGAUUAAUUUAAUUUUCAAAAAUUACAAAAAAAAUUCCUAAUAGAAAUCAUAUUCGUUAAUAAUAUAGGAUUUGAAUUUACGUAGGAAACCAAUCUAACCAAUUAAAUUAAAGAUUUUUUUAAAUAAUAAUCGAUUCCACUGUUACUUUUCAGCUAAUCAAAAUAGAGGAUAAUUUGUAGUUUAAGGCAUCACUAAUAAUUAUCAAAAUUCUUCAUUUCCUAUACAACCAUGUAGUACUAAUUAUUGAGUUAAUAAUGCUUAAUACGAAACUCUAACAUCAAUUUUAAUAUAUGAAAUUGCAGACUGUUAGUUUAAUGAGAUAUUUCUAAUAAUCUUUUUCCCCCCGCUUUGUCUCAUUCCUUCCAUAUCUAAAAAAGAAACUCACUUCAUUAUUGCUUUUUCUCUUGUUGGAUUCAAAUCCUUAAUGCCAACAAAUAAAUAAAUAUAACCACUACCAGAUAGUAGCUAGUAGGUUUUUCAACCUAGAUGACUCGUUCCAAUUAAGAUGUUUUAUUUGUAUCACAUUCAAUCUAACACUACCACGAAUAACAAUCGUUAGGUAAGGUUUUUCGGCUUAACGUUACCACCAUUAUUUAAUGGAUUUUUAAAUUUGUAACUGUAAAGGCCAUUACAAUCAUUAUUUAAAGGUAACAGCUGUUACCGUCCGUUAAGUAAUAGUCAUAACAGCCAUUACUUUUCCAACUCAGAAUUCUUAGCCUUUUUUUUUUUUUUAACCUUUUCCAUGUGAAAUGCAGUAGAGAGAACUUUUUGUUGGACAAAAAACUAUCUUGGCUCGUUCAUUUUAGCAGCUUUUCAUUUUCUCCCUAGGCAACUAAGCCAUUUUCUCUUAACUUUCUCCACAACCAACUCAAGUGAAAUCAUUCAUUUUUCUACAAAUUUUUAUCUCAAGAACAUGGAUCAUCAAAUAGACAAGGCAGUUUUGAAGUG